rnacentral:rRNA from 1 species
AGUGGGGAAUAUUGGACAAUGGGGGAAACCCUGAUCCAGCGACGCCGCGUGUGUGAAGAAGGCCUGCGGGCUGUAAAGCACUUUUAGUGGGGAUGAAAAAUUCAGGGCUAAUAUCCCUGGGUCUUGACCUAACCCAAAGAAAAAGCACCGGCUAACUCUGUGCCAGCAGCCGCGGUAAUACAGAGGGUGCGAGCGUUAAUCGGAAUUACUGGGCGUAAAGCGUGCGUAGACGGUUCCGUAAGUCGGGUGUGAAAGCCCCGGGCUCAACCUGGGAAUUGCAUUCGAAACUGCAAGGCUAGGGUGCGGAAGAGGGAAGCGGAAUMUCCGGU